rnacentral:rRNA from 1 species
UUUGUAGGUGGCUUGUUAAGUCAGACGUGAAAUCCCUCAGCUUAACUGGGGAACUGCGUCUGAUACUGAUGAGCUUGAGUGCAGGAGAGGAACGCGGAAUUCCAGGUGUAGCGGUGAAAUGCGUAGAUAUCUGGAGGAACACCGGUGGCGAAGGCGGCGUUCUGGACUGCAACUGACACUGAAAAACGAAAGCCAGGGGAGCAAACG